rfam:Gossypium raimondii chromosome 2, whole genome shotgun sequence.
AGGAGCCGUGCGAGAUGAAAGUCUCAUUCACGGUUUUGAAUGAGAGAAAGAAGUGAGGAAUCCUCUUUUCGACUCUGAC